CUUUAUUUACAUAAUCUGUCCCAUAGUCAUGCAUUGUUUUGCACCCCAAAUUUUUUAUUGUUUGUAGCAGCAUGAUUCGCUUUCCUCUUGGUCUAGAGAUGAGGCUCAAGCACUAUCCCAUUUACUCCAGUACGCAGUGUAUAACUACUUAAGGAAAGCAGAUUGAACUUCAUCCUCUUUCCUUUCCUUUCUAUUUUCACAUGAUGCCCUCAUCUUCCAUCCUUUUUUAGUUGGAAUGACUCAAUCAUGUGAAAUUAGUUACCAAAUUAACACAGUUUAGACUAUCAUCCUGACUGCUUAAACCCCUCUACUGAGAUCUGCUCAUGAAUAGUACUUUAUAAUAUUAGGGAAUAGAAACCGUGAAGUUUUUACUUUUCAAAGCUAUUUAUCCAUAUUUCAAAUUAAAAGUAGGACAUGAAAUCAAUUGCAGAUGAUAUCCCAUUUCCUAAGUGGUCAGGUCUCAUUCCAACUUCAUUAAAUCCCAUUUGAGCACAGAACACAUUCUCAAACAUUUUGAAAAAUAUUCUUCCAAAAUGUAGGAACUAAUGCUAGUCAUCAUUCUAGGAUCUGAUAUUUUAUUCAGUUUUUUAAAUGAAUGACUAAUGUUCUAGGAAAUAGUUUUAGCAAAUUCCCAGGUGCCACACCAAAACAAAAAAAGUGCAAUAAUUUACUGACAGUUUCUAGAUUAGGCAUAUUAUUGGAGAACAACUUUAUAAAGAGUGCACAUUGUAUAAUCUAGUAAAACAGCAUCACUUUAAAAUAUUCAUCUACAAAAUCAGAUACCUAUAGAAGUCUUAAAUAGUGAACAAGGGACUCUAAUGCAAAUACUCUUAAUAUCUGGCUAUUUUAGAACCCUUAAAGGGCAUAAUUAACGAAGAUUUAGGUACUUCACUAAAGCAUGUAUAUAAUGCCAACAUGAAAAAUAAAUUUGAAGAUUAGGGGAACUUAUUUCUGUAAAUUGUCUGAAAUAUUUAUGCAGAAUUUAAUCUGUUUUAAGUUGGAAAGCAGAUAGAUUCUGCAAAUAGAGAUUUCAUUAUUUAAACAACAUUUUGUGUUAUAUAGAUAUAUGCAGUUGAUACAUACUAACAUCGCAGCCUUUUCUGUAUCAGGGAUUGAUUAUAAGAAAACUCAGUGAAAUGGUACAAAUCCAAAACUUUGAUGGGGAAAACUGAAGAAGUAACAGAGAACUGUGUUUUACUCAAGUGCCAAGAAAGCCUUGAGCCUCCUUGCACAAAAUCUGUUCAAUUUUUGCAUUUUUUUUUUCACAUUAAUGCAGGUAGUUGCCCACUUCCUAUUUCCCAAGACCUCUUUGCCAUUAAAACACACAAGCCACAUAGCUUAUUUCAUUACAUACAUUUAUUUUUAAGUUAUUACAACCAAAUUAAUUCAAUUUGAAGAAGUAUAGAUAAAUUCUGUAAAGAAUAUAGAUUAAGUGAUCUAGGAAACAAAGGAGGACAGUUAAUGUUCAGAAAGGCAAAGGCCAAAAGUGGAAUGGAAAGCUACACAGGGUGACAGAUCUGUUUCAGGUCUGUGAUGAUACAGCCGCUUCCAGGUACUUGAGUAUCAGGGGUCAGUGCCACAGCUGACCAUGUUUGUCAUCAACCAUGAUGUAAUUGACUGUUGGCUCCACAGUCUCAUUACUUGAGAAAUACUCCUUCAGUAAUUAGUUUGGAGGGAAAAAUCACAUCUAAAGAAAAAAGCCUAGCUUUAAAUACAGUGUAACAAGAAAUAGUCAACUGUUUAAAAAUCACACUUUUUAACAUAUGCUCAGCUAUAUGAAAACAUUUAUUUUGAGUAUUUUUAGACUGCUGUUAAUUUAAAAUCUAUUCAUAUUGUGGAAUUUGGGUUUUUUUUAAAAAAAGAUGUUUCUAAUUGGAUUUUUUAAAAGAAGAAAAAUUGGGCUGCUAUUUUAUGAUAGAACCUCAGCUUUUUCUGGUUUUUAGUGUCCUCUGUAAAACUUACUAUCAGUAAUUAACUUUGAGGUUUUCCCUUUAUUCUACUUUAUAUUACAAUCCCAUUAGGAAAUGGGAAACUGGUGAAUAUAUAAUGAAUUGUAAAAUAUUUUAAUGUGUAACUUUCAACUGUGAAACUAUGACUUUGGUAUUUUGAUGAAAACAGCUGCUGAUAAAGUAUUUUGUAUAAAGUGUAGUUCUUAUUAAUCAGGAAAUGAUGGUUUGAUUAGAUUGUGUAUACCCUUGGAUUUUAUUUUAAAUGGAUUAAUUUUCACAUAGGUAAAACACAGUCCAUCUGUGUUCUUUUUCCAUCAAAAACUGACUGAUUUGGCAUUAUUUUUUAAAAUUGUGAAAAGGCUAUCUCAAAGGCAUGAUGGAAAUUUCAUAGCACAUAAACUUGGAUUUGUUUCUUUACAGAAUGAUUUUGUAGAUCCAUUAACUCAUAUUUUGAUCAAUAUCCCAUGCUUGCCAACUCUUUUGAAAUUUAAUUUCUAGCAGUAUAUUCAAGCUACUAUGUUAACCUUUUCUGGACAUCAUAAGUUCCUUUUCUGUGCCUACACAAACUAUAGUCCUGGGCUGGACCCACACACUUGAAGUCCACCUUUAAAAAUUAUCUUGAUGUCCAAGGGAUCACUAAAAUAAUUAAGUUUAAAAACAAUAUAUAGUGUUAAUAGAUGGUGGUGCUUCUAUUUAAAGUCAACUUUCAUACUUCACGUGUUUUGAGAUUAAGGGAGUGUGAAGGGAGGGCACAGAACAGGGAGGAGUUGUUUGACUGAACCUGCAUUCUUUAUAUCCAUCCUCAGAUGGUGGCAUGUCUAAGAGAAAGCUGGAAGUUGUGAAAAUAUAUUAUGCAUACCAUGAAGGAAUUAACUCUUCAUCGAGGAUAGGUUGUGAAGGCUGAACUAUAUAAUUCAGUACUGACACACCUUCAAAUAAUAAUUCUUGGUGAAAGGAUAGUACAGCUGGGCUGUUUUUAAAAGUACAAACAGAACCAUUUUAAUGAAUACAUUAAAAUUGUACAUAUAUCUUAUGUGUCAUGGCCUGGGAAGAUGGUUUUCUUUUGUCAUGAAAAUUAUUUCUACUCUCUAAAAAGACUAUUAGGAUUAACUCAAGAUAAAUGUGGUCCCAAUAUAAUUGAAUUGGUAGCUGUACCUCAGAAAGUUAGGAGAGAAAAAAUAGAUGAGUUACACUUCAAUACUUCAGGCUCUUAACGUUACAGAAAUUUUUCCGAGCACUGUAUUUUGGAUUUGCAAAGUCAGAGUUGGCAUGUCUUAUUUUUAAUGGUGCUGGAGACAUUAAUAAAAAUUUUUGGCUAAAAUUUAAUCAUUGCUACAGCCCUUUGGAAAAGGCUGUAGUGUAGUGUGAGGACGUUCAUGGUAUUAGGUUCUCAAAUUUGGCAUUUAAAAUCCAUUUUGUUCUCUUCCUCUACUAUUUUGUGUGUUUCUGCACACAUCUCUAUUUGUGCACACAUUGCAAGCUCCAGUCAAGAGGAAUUUUUUAUAAAAUGCGUAAACAAAUACUAAGGUUCUAAAAUUCAGAAGAGUUUAGAAUUUAUUAGGAAUCUCCCAAGUUGGAAUGUUAAGUCUUCAAAUAUACUUAUUUAUUUCAUCCAAAUAUUCCACUUGAUUAAGGUUUUGCACUUCCUUUUCAUUAGUGGAGCACCAUUCCUCUUCCUUAGUUUUAGGUGUGUUAAUAGUCUAGCCACACUAGUUAGCAGAAAGUGGCAGGUGUGAGACAUAGGGAUAUCUUCUGACUUGUAACUUUUACACAACUACAUAUAAGAGUUUUAGUGGGGAGGGGAAGUAAAACUAGUCCAGUGUAUGUAUGUAUAGUAUAGUUCAGUGUAACUGAAUUUUCCCUGCCAAGAGAAUCCAUUCUUCAUGUUGGUAAGUACAGAAAAAGGUUUUAAAUACAUUUUGUAAGCCAAGUAGAGUCUGUUAAUCUGCAACCUUGCUUAAUCUGUCACUUCAAUAAUUUUGUAGCAAAACCAUGUACAUUUUAAGGUAUUCUUAUUUUUAUUGAUCUUUCUAGGUUACCAAGGAAAUAAAAUCCCUUUGGUGUUUCACAUUAAAAUAUCUUUAAUACGACUAAACUCCUUAAUUCUUGAAUGAAUUUCAAAGUGUGGUCAUCACCUAUUGAUUUCAUUUUUUUUAAAAGUUCCUUACCAGAUUUAAUUUAUGUCCUAAGAGUGGUUGGAGAACUUGGUAUUUAUCAGAUAUCUAGAAAUCUUUUUGGCUGGAACUCAUAUUUUAUAUGCAGCUAAUGGUUUCAGUGUAAGUCUUCAGACUUAAUUUAGUUAAAUAAAAUUCAAAAGAACAUACCCUUUUGGAACCUAGCAUCUUCAUAUCCUGGGAAAUGUAAUGCUACCCAAAGACUGCUGACACAUCAAUUGUUUACUUUAGAAGCUUCAACAGGGAGCUCGACCCACUCUUUUUUUUUAAGAACCAUUAAUUAUAGCAAGUCUUUUUCUUUAUAUUCUGUUCAUUCCAUGAAUUGAAGUCCUGUGGUACAAUGCAUUAGUUAGGAAAAAAAUGUUUUCGAUGUCCUCUUUAUGAUGGCCCAAAAAGUAUUUGACACAGCAAGAUGCAUGUGUUACUAUAUUUAGAAUAUAGAAUAAUAGCACUAAAUUUAACACCUCUUCCCAGUCUUGCUCUUCCUAGCCAGAAGUUUGGCCUGUGACUGCACUUAUUGUUUGUUUGUGCUCAUCAAAAACUGUCAAUGUCUGCUUUUCUUUAACUUUGCAGUCUGUAACAUCACGCUGUUUAUUAAAAAAAAAAAAAAAAUUACCUUGACUUGUGUCCAAACAAUCCUUAGUGUAUUGUAUAAGAAAAAGCUGUGAUAAUUCUAUUUUGCCAUGUCCCUUUGAGAAGCAAAUUAGUAUUGCCAAUAAUCAAAAUUUAGCUGGAUUUGAGUUCUUUUCAUUAAUGAGUAAGAAUACUUACUUGAAAACCUAAAACAAUUAUGCCUUAAAAGCCAGUUUUCUGCCCUGAUAAAGUGAUGAAUAGUAGAGAAAUGUAUGUUUAGAUACUAACUUCCUUUAAGCAUAAAGAAAUAUAUAUAUAAAUGUUUGUAUAUAUGUGUAUAAGUAUAUAGUCUUUUCAAGUCAGUUGAAGGCCAAAACCUAAAAAUGAAGUUAGGCUAGAAGCAAACUAAUUUUGCUUUGAGUUAUCAUUAAACAUUGCUAAAGGUAAGUCUGGGACUUUCUUUGAUCAGUAAUGCACAUCACCUUUGAUAUUUAGUACUUCUAAGCAUUUAAGCGUAUCAUUGAUUAAAUUUUACUGAUAUGACAAAUGAUUUGAAUUUUAAAUUGACAUUGUUCCCUAAGUAUAAUUUCUUUUCUAGGAUGAACCAAGUAGCCACUAUCUAAAUGGAAAACUGAAAGUAAUUGCAACAUAUACUUUAGCUUGCAUUUGUUAGAAGAAAAAUCAUAGGGACUGCAUAUUGCUAAGAUGUACGAAGAAACAAUAAAAU
rnacentral:lncRNA from 1 species